rnacentral:rRNA from 1 species
GCUAACGCUGGCGGCGUGUCUUAGCCAUGCAAGUCGAGCGGACUUAUGGGGUAACUUAUAAGUCAGCGGCGGACGGCGGAGUAACGCGUAGCUAACCUACCCUCUGGACGGGGAUAACCUACCGAAAGGUGGGCUAAUACCCGAUGUAGUCAUCCUGUAUAGGGGUGAUGAAAGGUGGGCUUCUGUUUACAAGCUCAUGCUGGAGGAGGGGGCUGCGGCCUAUCAGGUAGUUGGUAGGGUAAUAGCCUACCAAGCCGAUGACGGGUAGCCGGCCUGAGAGGGUGACCGGCCCGAGGGGCACUGAGAUACGGGUCCCACUCCUACGGGAGGCAGCAGGCUAGAAAUUUGGGCAAUGGGGGAAACCCUGACCCAGUGACGCCGCGUGCAGGAAGGAGCCCUUCGGGGUGUAAACUGCUGUCGUGUAGGGAGAAGGGUACUAAGGUGAACAAUCUUAGUACUUGACGGUACUACAGGAGGAAGCCCAGGCUAACCUCGUG